GACGAACGCUGGCGGCGUGCUUAACACAUGCAAGUCGAACGGAAAGGCCCCUUUGGGGGUACUCGAGUGGCGAACGGGUGAGUAACACGUGAGUAACCUGCCCUUGACUUCGGGAUAACUUCAGGUAACUGGGGCUAAUACCGGAUAGGAAUCCUUUCUGCAUGGUGGGGGUUGGAAAGCUUCGGCGGUUUUGGGUGGACUCGCUGCUUAUCAGCUUGUUGGUGGGGUAGUGGAUUACCAAGGCUUUGUCGGGUAGCCGGCCUGAGAGGGCGACCGGCCACAUUGGGACUGAGAUGCGGCACAGACUCCUACGGGAGGGAGCAGUGGGGAAUAUUGCACAAUGGGCGGCAGCCUGAUGCAGCAAGGCCGCGUGCGGGAUGACGGCCUUCGGGUUGUAGACCGCUUUCAGCAGGGGCGAAGCUUGUGGUGACGGUACCUGCAGAAGAAGCACCGGCUAACUACGUG
rnacentral:rRNA from 1 species